ACACAUAUGUGAUAAGCCUCUUACCAUGGGCUGGCCCAGGGAGCAGUCAAUGGAUCAUGAAGAUGGAGGUGGUGGCUCAUGCCUGUUAAUCCCCACACUAUGAGAGGCUGAGGCAGGAGGAUCACUUGGGGCCAGUAGUUUGAGACCAGCCUGGGCAACAUGGCAAGACUCCAUCUCUACAAAAAAAUGCAAAAAGAAAUCAGUGGACCAUGAUGAGCUUAUCAUGGAACAUAAGAAAAAUAAAACAGAUGUCAGCCUGUGUAUGAAGAAUUCAUCCACAAGAUUUGCUCACUCUUCAAUUCUUUCCCGAGCAAAACCAAGAAUCUUCUUGGGCUAAGCCCCAAUUUGGGGUUCACCUGCCUUGCAGCAACAUGGCACCAAACAUGCGGCAGAAGAGAGAAAACGACAGCAUGAGAGACGGAGAAAGAAAUGGCCAGUUGGCAAGGUGGUAAUG
ensembl:lncRNA novel transcript